GAUGAACGCUGGCGGCGUGCCUAAUACAUGCAAGUCGAGCGAGCAGACGAGGAGCUUGCUCCUCUGACGUUAGCGGCGGACGGGUGAGUAACACGUGGAUAACCUACCUAUAAGACUGGGAUAACUUUGGGAAACCGGAGCUAAUACCGGAUAAUAUAUUGAACCGCAUGGUUCAAUAGUGAAAGACGGUUUUGCUGUCACUUAUAGAUGGAUCCGCGCCGCAUUAGCUAGUUGGUAAGGUAACGGCUUACCAAGGCGACGAUGCGUAGCCGGCCUGAGAGGGUGAUCGGCCACACUGGAACUGAGACACGGUCCAGACUCCUACGGGAGGCAGCAGUAGGGAAUCUUCAGCAAUGGGCGAAAGCCUGACGGAGCAACGCCGCGUGAGUGAUGAAGGUCUUCGGAUCGUAAAACUCUGUUAUUAGGGAAGAACAAAUGUGUAAGUAACUAUGCACGUCUUGACGGUACCUAAUCAGAAAGCCACGGCUAACUACGUG
rnacentral:rRNA from 1 species